CCUACGGGAGGCAGCAGUGGGGAAUCUUGCGCAAUGGGCGAAAGCCUGACGCAGCAACGCCGCGUGCGGGAAGAAGGCUCUCGGGUUGUAAACCGCUUUCAGCAGGAACGAAAAUGACGGUACUUGCAGAAGAAGGUGCGGCCAACUACGUGCCAGCAGCCGCGGUGACACGUAGGCACCAAGCGUUGUCCGGAUUUAUUGGGCGUAAAGAGCUCGUAGGCGGUUCGGUAAGUCAGGUGUGAAAACUUUGGGCUCAACCCAAAGCCUGCAUCUGAUACUGCUGUGACUAGAGUUCGGUAGGGGAGCGGGGAAUUCCUAGUGUAGCGGUGAAAUGCGCAGAUAUUAGGAGGAACACCGGUGGCGAAGGCGCCGCUCUGGGCCGAAACUGACGCUGAGGAGCGAAAGCGUGGGUAGCAAACAGGAUUAGAUACCCUGGUAGUCCACGCCGUAAACGUUGGGCACUAGGUGUGGGUUUCAACCAACGAAAUCCGCGCCGUCGCUAACGCAUUAAGUGCCCCGCCUGGGGAGUACGGCCGCAAGGUUAAAACCUUAAAUGAAUUGACGG
rnacentral:rRNA from 1 species